AAUGCUUUUUUCGCUACAGUAUCCUUCGGCUUCAGAAUAUCAACGGUAAGUGCUUUACUGGGCAAAAUAUAUUUAUUUUACUGCAGAUAGGCUGUGAGCGAUAGCCAAACAAACAUCUCAGUGUUUUCUCCACUCAGCCCCGCUGCCAUUAUUAUUAAUGACUUAAUGAGAGCCACAUGUGCUUAAAUGUUUGUUAAACUGUGUUAUUUUUUAAUCAGCAUGUAAACUAUGUACAGUGUGGUUUACUCCAUUCUGCACAUUGCGCUUGUGGACGGUGAUAAACAAUCCGAUGUCACACUUGCAGAAAUUUCUCACAGUUUGUCACAGCAAGUGUCGGGGGUAAAAUGACGCGAAUUUGUACGCACUGUCACAGUCAGAACUUUCAGCACAUGCUAAGCUAGCAGCUUACAAGUCACGUUUUCUUGUUUUUUUUCUUCUUCCCAUCCACCACGCAGGCAUCAGUGAUCAUUAGCACAGUGACGGCGACGCGCAAAGCGCGCGAGACCAGGCGCGUUAAUAAACGCAACGGUGGCCGCGGCUGAAGUGUUUGCUGUGCAGCUGCGGCUGUUGCGGUCGUAAGUUUAAAGGGCGCCGCCACGCUGCGACUGCUGCCGUGUACCAUGGAGUUACGGAGGUGGAUGCCUCAUAUUGCGCGGCACUGUGGAGACCGAUCGCCGAUGAGUCAGACGUCAACGCAAGCUGAGAUUACAAGAAUUCUGCGAGGUGCUGCACAGAGAUUGCCGUGUGAUGUCAGAGCUCCCCCCGUGCUGUUUGCGUUGGUGUUUGCUCAGGGGGAGUCCCCACAAAAAAGUGUGCAGGCAACCAGGAGAGGCUUUAGGGCACCUGAAGUACUAUCUCAAGCGAAUCGUCUGAGCCCACUGAUAAGGCAUCAUCCAACAACAUCACAGCAGCGUAAUUGGUCAAAUGUGAGGAUGUCACGUCAGUUAAGAAAAAAGUGAGAAUAGACAGACACAACUUCUUGUCCCUGCUAAGGAAAUAAACAUUGCGUAUGUAUGCUGGA